rnacentral:snRNA from 1 species
GUGCUCCCUUUAGUCGCACCUAUACUAAAACUGGAAUGGUGCAGAGAAGAUUUGUAUGGCCCCUGAACAAGGAUGACAUGAAAAUUUGUGAAACUUUGCAUUAAAAA